UUUUUAGUAUAAGUAUGUCCCAUGCAGUAGUUGGGGCAUACUUAUGCUAGAA
rnacentral:pre_miRNA from 1 species